rnacentral:rRNA from 1 species
UACGUAGGGGGCAAGCGUUGUCCGGAAUCAUUGGGCGUAAAGCGCGCGUAGGCGGCCCGGUAAGUCCGUUGUGAAAGUCAAAGGCUCAACCUUUGAACGCCGAUGGAUACUGCCGGGCUAGAGUCCGGAAGAGGCGAGUGGAAUUCCUGGUGUAGCGGUGAAAUGCGCAGAUAUCAGGAAGAACACCAAUGGCGAAGGCAGCUCUCUGGGACGGUACUGACGCUGAGACGCGAAAGCGUGGGGAGCGAACAGG